UGCCCAUUGGCCCAGUGGUAAAGGCGUCUGACUGUUAGUUACAGCAAAGCAGCUAAAUCAGAAGAUCCCUGGUUCGACCCCAGGAUGGGCAG